GGAAUGGAGCUUUAAAUCAGGAACUACCUGCGAUAACUGACAGCCUUCACUCAAACAGGGAUUCAGGACAUACAGGCAAGCACUGGAGAAAAGGAGAGGGAAUUACAGGAAAUGGAUGUGUGCAAACUCGCCCUAAUUUAUGUAAAUACGGAGGCGGAAGACUUUCACUUCAUUGUUACAAAUUAAAAGUUCCCUGACAUUUCCAAUUA